CAGUCGCCGCGGUAAUACGUAGGGUGCGAGCGUUAAUCGGAAUUACUGGGCGUAAAGCGUGCGCAGGCGGUUAUAUAAGACAGAUGUGAAAUCCCCGGGCUCAACCUGGGACCUGCAUCUGUGACUGUAUAGCUAGAGUACGGUAGAGGGGGAUGGAAUUCCGCGUGUAGCAGUGAAAUGCGUAGAUAUGCGGAGGAACACCGAUGGCGAAGGCAGCCCCCUGGGCCAACACUGACGCUCAUGCACGAAAGCGUGGGGAGCAAACAGGAUUAGAUACCCCGGUAGUCCCUGUCUCUUAUAC
rnacentral:rRNA from 1 species